GUCUCUGACCUGCUGAGAGCUCUGUUGUCUUUCUCCUUUCCAUCAGUUGUUUUUAUUCUAUUUUAGGAUGGAGGCCUGGUGGUUUAGUUUUGUUUGUGAAUUGAGUUCAUGGAGAUUUUAUUAGUUUCAGACCAAUUUAAGUUACAUUUUUGCAAACUUGUAGCUCCCAUUCAGCACUUUGUGUUUCAUCUUAAAUCAGAAUUCACUAUGAUUACAUUCUGGACACUGUGACAAGGAAACAACACAUUAAACAGAUGCAACUCUGCAGAGGAGAGAAGCGAGCCGACGACUCUCCAUGAAACUGAUUCAGACUGCAGAGGGCAUCAGAGUCUGCAGGAUGUGAAAUCCAUAAGAGGCGUCUGAAGAGCGUCUGUCGCUCAGCUGUAUCUCCUGGGGGUUAAUACCUGUAUGGACAAUUAAUUCUGUUAGAUACAAAUAAAGAAUAAACCGCG